AAGAUUUUAAGUUAAUCAAAACUUUAAGCCUUCAAAGUUUAAUAUAUAAAUCUAUAUUAUAAAUCUUA
rnacentral:tRNA from 1 species